rnacentral:RNase_P_RNA from 2 species
GCGGAGGGCCGGAUGGCCGCGGGCGGGGCGACCCGUCCGAGGAAAGUCGGGACUCCCGGAAGCAACGGUGCCGGGUAACGCCCGGGCAGGGCAACCUGACGGACAGCGCCACAGAGAACAGACCGCCCCGGUCCGCCGGGGUCAGGGUGAAACGGUGGGGUAAGAGCCCACCGGGGGGCCGGCAACGGCGCCCGCAUGGCAAGCCCCACCGGGAGCAAUGCCAAAUAGGGACCCCGCGCGGGCUGAUCCCUCCGGGGAUAUCGUCGCAGGGCCGCUUCCGCCCUAGGGGUCCGGGUUGGCAGCUCGAGCCGUCGGGUGACCGGCGGCCCAGAGGAAUGGUCAUCUCCGCCUCCGCGAGGGGGUGCAGACAGAAUCCCGCUUACAGGCCCUCCGCGCGU